UACGUAGGGGGCAAGCGUUGUCCGGAUUUAUUGGGCGUAAAGAGCGUGUAGGCGGCCUGACAGGUCUGCUGUGAAAACUCGAGGCUCAACCUCGAGAUGUCGGCGGAAACCGUCUGGCUAGAGUCCGGAAGAGGAGAGUGGAAUUCCUGGUGUAGCGGUGAAAUGCGCAGAUAUCAGGAAGAACACCUAUGGCGAAGGCAGCUCACUACUCAAUUAUUGACUCUGAGGCACGAAAGCGUGGGGAUCAAACAGG
rnacentral:rRNA from 1 species